rnacentral:lncRNA from 1 species
GACAGUGUCAGGCUUGUUAGUGGUCGGGGACAGAUGAAUCCAGCCCUGUGCUGAUCGCCUGCCUUCCACCUCCCAAUUAGACUAUCACAGCCGGUGCUGCUGUCUCUUGUACUUACUGUAAAGGACCCUGGAAGAGGGAGUGGUUCAUCCUAGCUGCAAACAAGGGCGGUUUUUUGUUGUUGUUUGCUUCUUUUUUUUUUUUCUUUUAAGAAUUACGUUUUAUAAGUAUGUCUGGGCGUUACAAGGGAAUGUGAACGACUUUUCAGAGAGAUUGUGAAUAUAUUUGAUGUGUUCUAAAAAGCUGGAAAUCCCUAAGUAAAUGCAGUAUCGAUAGAAAGCAAGUUUCUUGAAGAGUCACCUGCUAAACUCUACUAGCAUCAUCUCUACAAUUGGGAGCCUCGAAGUCUGAAAUCAAGGUGUCAGCCAGAUCCCCUCUGAAGUCCUGGCGAAGAGUUCUUCCUUGCCUUCUUCAGGUUCAUUUGACCUCAGGCAUUCCUUGGCUGUGGCAGCCUAACUCCAGUUUCUGCCUCCAUCUUCAUAGAGCCUUCUUCCCUCAGUCAACCUCUGUUUGCUCUUCUACUGGGCUUCUGAAAAAAUGAUUGUUGGUUAGCAGAACAAGAAUUUCUCUAGCAGUACAGCAGACGUUUUCUUUCUAGUGACAUGUGAGAGUGGGCGGUUGACCAUCAAACAGCCUUUCAAAAUUAAACCUCAGUCUCUCUUCAAAAAGAAAACAAAAAUAAUACGAGACAAACUUUGGCUAUAGACCGAAACAUCCGAUAUGGUGGAAGUACAACAUUAACCAUACUGAUGGGGCCAACAUCUGUGGAAAUGAUGAACAUGAAAUGAGAAGAAAACAAAUCCCUGGUGGGAGGAGGGGGGGAUCACAGAACAAAGUUAUCUCAGGAUCCUAGGCUCUUUGGGCUUCUAAAUAGUUCUCUGUGUAUGAGAUAACAUUUAAUCUAAUUUAAGCCCUUGUAUUUUUUCAGUGGUUUAGCCUUUAUCUUAAUAAAACUGUUUAGAAAAAUUUGGACUGACUGCUACUUACUUAAAAUAAAUGGGUAAAGUGAGUUGUUGUGAUAAAAAAAAAUGGAUUCAUCUUUAAAGUGGAUAAGAGACAAAUGGAUUGUGUGGUAGUAAUUAACUUAUUGUCUUUUUAUCACAUAGUUUCUCACAUGCUUAGGAAGUAAGGUAUUAAUCAGAAUUAUAGGAAAAAGUAUAUUUACAGUCUGGUAACUAUCAUAGAAUCUCUUCAAACUGUCAGAAAUACCACAUAGUAAUAAUAUAACUAGAAUAGUAUAUAGAGUAUAUAGUACAGAGUAUAUAGGGAGUAUAUAUAGCAUAUAUUAUAAAUUGAUUAUAAAGUAAAAAGUAUACAGGGCAGCACACACAGUAGAACAGUAGAUAGAGAAGUAUUAUAUAUUAAUCUUCAUGUAUUCAUAAGAAUAUCAUAUAUGUUCAUAUAUUAUUUUCCCCACAUUCACAGAGUAUAUGUGUUUUGAAAGUAGCAGAAGAUUGAAUUUUCACAAUUCACAAAAUAACAGAACUUUUGAGGUGUUCUAAAAUUAGGUAAAAAAUAGAUGCUUAUAAGAAAACAUCCAGAAAUAUAUCAUUAACUCUCUGAAUGUGUGAAUGAAUUUGACAUUUCCUAGGAGCUAAUGAGAUACAUGCUUGCUAUCUAACUUGUCAAGCAUUCUUUUUUGGAAAUCUUAACAAGAGAAGCCAUCUAAAUCUGAGUCAUUAAGGUGAGAUCAAGUCAAAACAUACCAAAAAUGAGAAUUAGAUUCCUGUUCUCUAAUGGUGUUUCAUAUGAAAAAGCCUGGUCCCCACUGUUGCAUAGACUGGCUUUAUAAUCCUGAUCCUGUGAAUGAAUGGUUGUCAUCUUAAGAAAUUUGCUCCAUUUCUUGGACCCCUGUGCACAGUGAAAACAUGUGUCAGAAACAACAACACUUUUGGUCCCUGCUAAUACCAAUGUUGUGAUUGUACUUGCUUUUUUUUUUCCUAUUUAUGUUGUAACUGCUAACUCCUUUUAGAAUCCAGUAUCCCAAUUACCAGCUCAGAUUUAGACCACUUUUAUCUCUUAAUGUCUGAUAAAAAUUGUCUAGUACAUACCCCACACAACAAAUUAUAGGCAGUAGAUAGCUGCUGGAUUCAAUUUCAUCUUGGAUAUAUUCCUUUAAGUAAAUAUGCUUUAAUUUUAAUGUGUGUGCAUAAAAUUAUGCUGUUUUCACUUGUAAAAUUUAGCUUAGAAACUUUCAUUCAUUAUUUAUACUUGUGUGAAUUAUUAACAUAUUUUCCCAAUUAUCAAUCAUAUCUUUUCCUUAUUUUGUUUUUAAAAAAUACUAUUUUUCUGAACAAUAAUCCUUUAUUAGUUAUUUAUGUUGUAAAUAUUUUCUCCCAGGUUAUGACUUAAUAUUCCCUAAUUGUUUCAUGAUGUAUUUGGUAAUUAAAUAUUAUUUAUUUUAGUGUAGUUUUAUUUAGCAAAUUUCUUUUAAGAUUAGCAUUGUAUCUUGUUUAAGAAAUUCUACUCUUUCCCCAAAGUGUUAAAAUAUUCUCCUAAACAUUAUUAUGAAAUUAUUAAAACUUUACUUGCACAUUUAAGCCUUUAAUCCUUUGAGUUUUGAAUUUUGCCUUUGAUGCAGGCAGGAUUUAAUCAUACCUAAUGGUUUUUCUGUAUUAGAUAAUAAUAUUUUAAAAUCUCUUAAUUUGUUUAAUUGGUGACUGACAUUUUACAUCUCAUAAUUUUAAAUUAAGCUUAUGUGAAUAAAUACAAUUUGAUCAUAAAA